CGGGUCGGCGCCAUUUUGGGACCGAGACUGGCGGUGGGGGAGGGAAAAGCGGCAAAAGGGGAUUAUUCAAAGUACCGAAAACCUCCUCCCGGGAUCGAGCGCGGCGGCACCCCAGGCCCGGAGCCCCUCUGGUGCGGCCGAAGGUGAUCGAAUUACUCAGAUAUGAAGAUUUUCUUCUAGGUUUUGUGUGAAAGGCCCCGGAUAUUUCAAGUGGCCAUUUUGGAAUUACAAUGUUUUUGGAUAAUUUUGCCCCAGAAGUUUAAGAUCGGCAGGAAUCGUCUCGGAAGUGUUCUGAUAGUAGUGAAUGUUUCUACAAGCCGCUUAAAAAGAGUGACGGACACCGCUUCACUAUUUCGGUUCAGACGGAUUCUAUAACAUACUCAAGUAUUGCAGCUGGUGGUAUUUUUGCCUCCCCCACCCUCUCUGUUGGUGUUCUUCAGCCAGAACUGUAAGAUAUGUUUGAUUUGUGUACUGAAUAGUUCCGACAGUUUCAAAUUACUGUUUAAAUAUUUCUGACGUCCCAUGGCAGUUUAUUUUUACUUUUAUUAAAAAUUUUAGGAAUUGUUUACCUCAACCCUUUUCAGAUCACAAUGG